UGGUGCAGCGGUAGUGUCUCUGCAUGCCAUGCGGGCGACCCGGGUUCAAAUCCCGGU
rnacentral:tRNA from 1 species